rnacentral:rRNA from 1 species
UCGAGAAUUUUUCUCAAUGGGCGAAAGCCUGAAGGAGCGACGCCGCGUGGAGGAUGAAGGUCUUCGGAUUGUAAACUCCUGUCAUUGGUGAACAAGGCCAUCGGUUAACUGCCGUUUGGUUUGAUAGUAGCCGAAGAGGAAGAGACGGCUAACUCUGUGCCAGCAGCCGCGGUAAUACAGAGGUCUCAAGCGUUGUUCGGAUUCAUUGGGCGUAAAGGGUGCGUAGGUGGCGGGGCAAGUUUGGUGUGAAAUCCCGGGGCUCAACCCCGGAACUGCACUGAAUACUGCUUUGCUAGAGUACUGGAGAGGGAACUGGAAUUUACGGUGUAGCAGUGAAAUGCGUAGAUAUCGUAAGGAAGACCAGUGGCGAAGGCGAGUUCCUGGACAGUUACUGACACUGAGGCACGAAGGCCAGGGGAGCAAACGGG